rnacentral:rRNA from 1 species
CACUCCUACGGGAGGCAGCAGUGGGGAAUAUUGGACAAUGGGCGAAAGCCUGAUCCAGCAAUGCCGCGUGAGUGAUGAAGGCCUUAGGGUUGUAAAGCUCUUUUACCCGGGAUGAUAAUGACAGUACCGGGAGAAUAAGCCCCGGCUAACUCCGUGCCAGCAGCCGCGGUAAUACGGAGGGGGCUAGCGUUGUUCGGAAUUACUGGGCGUAAAGCGCGCGUAGGCGGCUUUGUAAGUUAGAGGUGAAAGCCCGGAGCUCAACUUCGGAAUUGCCUUUAAGACUGCAUCGCUAGAAUCGUGGAGAGGUGAGUGGAAUUCCGAGUGUAGAGGUGAAAUUCGUAGAUAUUCGGAAGAACACCAGUGGCGAAGGCGACUCACUGGACACGUAUUGACGCUGAGGUGCGAAAGCGUGGGGAGCAAACAGGAUUAGAAACCCGAGUAGUCCCAUGAU